UUUCCGUAGGUGAACCUGCGGAAGGAUCAUUAUCAAAAGUCAAGUCGGGGGCUGUAAAGCUCUCGUCUACACCCAUGUCUUUUGCGUACUCUUGUUUCCUCGGUGGCGCAAGCUGCCGAUUGGACAAACCAAAACCUUUUUUGUACCAUCUGAGUCUUCCACAAAUAAACAAAACUUUCAACAACGGAUCUCUUGGUUCUG
rnacentral:misc_RNA from 1 species